rnacentral:rRNA from 1 species
AGGGCGCAUGGCGGAUGCCUUGGCUCUCGGAGGCGAUGAAGGACGUGAUAAGCUGCGAUAAGCUUUGGGGAGGUGCAAAUGACCUUUGAUCCAGAGAUUUCCGAAUGGGACAACCCAAUAUCUUGAAGAGGUAUUAUCCAACUUUGUUGGAGGCUAACGCAGGGAACUGAAACAUCUUAGUACCUGCAGGAAAAGAAAAUAAAUAAUGAUUCCCCUAGUAGUGGCGAGCGAACGGGGAUUAGCCCAAACCACCCAUGUUACGGCAUGUGUGGGGUUGUAGGACCACGCUCUCGCAAGACAGUUAUUGAGAAGAAACGACUGGAAAGUCGUGCCAUAGACGGUGAUAGCCCGGUAUUCUAAGGUAACCGAAGCGUAGUGGUAUCCUGAGUAGCGCGGAGCACGAGGAAUUCUGCGUGAACCAGCCGGGACCAUCCGGUAAGGCUAAAUACUCCCGAGAGACCGAUAGCGAACCAGUACUGUGAAGGAAAGGUGAAAAGCACUUCGAAUAGAAGAGUGAAAUAGUCCCUGAAACCAUGCGCCUACAAGCGGUCGGAGCAGCUUAAGUUGUGACGGCGUGCCUUUUGCAUAAUGAACCUACGAGUUACUUUUUCCGGCAAGGUUAAGCAUCUUGAGAUGUGGAUCCGAAGCGAAAGCGAGUCUGAACAGGGCGGAUAGUCGGAAGGAGUAGACGCGAAACCAAGUGAUCUACCCUUGGGCAGGUUGAAGGUUAGGUAACACUAACUGGAGGACCGAACCGAUAAGCGUUGAAAAGCUUCCGGAUGACCUGAGGGUGGGGGUGAAAGGCUAAUCAAACUUGGAGAUAGCUCGUACUCCCCGAAAUGCAUUUAGGUGCAGCCUUGCGGGUUACUGAUGUGAGGUAGAGCGACUGAUAAGAUGCGAGGGCUUCACCGCCUAUCAAGUCUUGAUAAACUCCGAAUGCGCAUUAGUUCUAUCUCAGGAGUGAGGGCAUGGGUGCUAAGGUCCAUGUCCUAAAGGAGAAGAAUCCAGACCAUCAGCUAAGGUCCCCAAAUAAACACUAAGUUGAACUAACGAAGUCAGAUUGCUAAGACAGCUAGGAUGUUGGCUUGGAAGCAGCCAUUCAUUUAAAGAGUGCGUAACAGCUCACUAGUCGAGGAGUUUGGCGUGGAUAAUAAUCGGGCAUUAAGUGUUUUACCGAAGCUAUGGGAUACGUAAGUAUCGGUAGGGGAGCAUUCCACUCAGCGUUGAAGGCGAAGCGUGAGCUUUACUGGAGCGUGUGGAAAAGCAAAUGUAGGUAUAAGUAACGAUAAAGGGGGUGAGAAACCCCCUCGCCGCAAGACUAAGGUUUCCUGAUCAACGCUAAUCGGAUCAGGGUUAGUCGGGUCCUAAGGCUCAGCCGAACGGUGAGGCCGAUGGCAGAACAGGUUAAUAUUCCUGUACUACCUAUAAGAGUGAUGUGGAGACGGAGGAGUGACAACGCCGCGGACUGACGGAAUAGUCCGUUAAAGGGUGUAGAUGUUGAUUAUCCCAGGCAAAUCCGGGAUAAGAGUCGAACCUGACAGUAUACCAAUUUCCUCGGAAAACGGUAAUAGUGCGUGUAAACAUACUCCCAAGAAAAUCCGCUAAACUUAAUCUUAUAGGUACCCGUACCGUAAACGGACACACGUAGUCGGGUUGAAUAUACUCAGGCGCUUGAGUGAAUCACGGUUAAGGAACUAGGCAAAUUGACCCUGUAACUUCGGGAUAAAGGGUCCCUACCCGGUGACGGGAGGGCGCAGAGAAUAGGUCCAGGCAACUGUUUAACAAAAACACAGGGCUGUGCAAAAUUGAAAGAUCACGUAUACAGCCUGACACCUGCCCGGUGCUGGAAGGUUAAGAGGAGAUGUCAUCGCAAGAGAAGCAUUGAAUUGAAGCCCCAGUAAACGGCGGCCGUAACUAUAACGGUCCUAAGGUAGCGAAAUUCCUUGUCGGGUAAGUUCCGACCUGCACGAAUGGUGUAAUGAUCUGGACGCUGUCUCAACCGUGAGCUCAGUGAAAUUGUAGUAUCGGUGAAGAUGCCGAUUACCCGCGAUGGGACGAAAAGACCCCGUGAACCUUUACUAUAGCUUAACAUUGAAUUUGGGUAAUUGAUGUGUAGGAUAGGCCGGAGACUUUGAAGCAGGCACGCCAGUGUUUGUGGAGUCGCUGUUGAAAUACGGCCCUUUGGUUAUUUGAGUUCUAACUCGCUGAUGCGAGGACACUGUUUGGUGGGUAGUUUGACUGGGGUGGUCGCCUCCAAAAGCGUAACGGAGGCUUCU